AAUAUCUCAGAGUUCGAAAUGAAAUAUUCUGAACUUAUUCUGAGGCCAGUUCAGCUCUUCCUACCUACUCAAAACCUCCACGACGUACAGAACGGUAACAUGUCACUCCGCAUAUCUGAGCUUGGGUACACGGGGAAAUCCAACCCCUUGGGAAGAUAGAUGAUAUGACUAAUUUCAGAGGG
rnacentral:ribozyme from 1 species